rnacentral:lncRNA from 1 species
GGCAUUCUUGCUUUUCUUUUAAACCUAGUUGGUCUUUCUAAAUUGUAGCUGAGAAAAUGAUACGUAUAAUUACUAAAAACUUCUAUUGAAAACUGAAAAGUAGAGAAGAACAAAAAAGGGAAUACACAGGAUUGAGAAUGCAGUCUGCUAUGUCUGUCAUUGGUACAAGAACUGGAUUUCAUGUUACAAUUAAGACAAUGCAUCCAGAAAGGAAAACCCAACAAUGCAAGUAGACAGACAAUGUCACGACCUGUACUCCCCUCGAGCCCGUGACAACCGUCGCGAUGUCUCGAUUGGCAUUCAUUACUCGGAAUGCCAACCGAAACCUUGCAAGGCUUUCGCAUCAGUUUUACUUCUCCCCUGUGAGCAACAGUUAUUAAAUACCAUGUUUUAAAGAAAUAUAGACUAAACUAAAAUAAAAAAAUCAAAAAGUAAUUUCUACUACACAGGGGUAUUUUGGUCAUUUUAUCCAAAAUUUUCGAACCUUGGUAAAAAUAUGAUAUACGAGUAGUAAGCAUCCAUUUCAUGUCUAAAAAUAAGUUUCGUUGUCUAAUUCAUCAAUUUAAAGUGAAAUUAUAGCUAUUCAAAUUAAAUAAAAAUAUUAAAUAAAAUAUUUUAUUUUCUUAUAAAACAAUAUUUAUAGAACUCUACGUAAAUAAUUUUUGUAGCGUAAAAGCAAAAUAAAUUCAUACAUACAGUGACACACACAGCCAGGUAUACAAAAUAUUCUACAAUGACAUGUGGGCCCCCAAAAUAACCAAAAUAAACACGACUGUAAACUUGCGAUUUCGAAGGGUGCGAAUCCAACAGCAAACCCUCGACAAAAUCGACGGUCUAUAGACUGCCUUGAGCCUGAAAUGUGUGAAAGAAGGGUGGUGAGUUUUUAUAAACCCAGUGAGUAAGCAAAGUUCAUCUAUAACAUCUAAAGCCAAGUAAAUGGAGACAAUUAAAACAUCUCUUCAUAAUAUGAUUCAUAACAUUAAAACUCAUUUCAACCUUAUAAAAUAAUUUACAUUUCAUCAAAAAUAAUCAGCAAGGCUUAUGACUUUCUUAAAACUUGGCUCGUGCCAAACUUAUACUCGGUGACACAUUGGCUUGGGGCAUCCAACCGAGUCCGCCAAGGAUGUUAAAACGACAUAUACCUAUAAAACACGUUUUUACUUUUAAAAACAUAGCCGUUCCUUGACGUUGGCUGAGUUUCACUCUCACGUGGUGGUUCGGCAUGAAGUGAACUCUAAUGUUACCUUAGGAGAUACCCUUCGCGCCUCUCGUACCAAGGUAAAAUAUAACGGAGUUUACCGUGCCCCUCUCGUAGGCUAAUCCACGGAAACUCGCCCACCGCAGUAAGCUAAUCAAUUACCCCACUAAAUCAAUAAAAAUCUCGGCAGCAUGACAUGGCUAAUAUGAUAUUACCUAGCCUAUCAAGGCCAAACAAAACAGUUCAUAUUUCACACAAACACAAAUCCAGCCAUUCAUGGCAUCACAGUGUCAUAAGCCAUCAAUUCAAACCAUCUAUCAAACAUAAGUAUAUAGUCUCCACUUACUCAAUUUCCAAAACCAGUAUUCAAUUGCAAACCAAAUUAUGAAUCUCAUUUCAUUUAACCAACACUUUCCACUUUUAAAACAUAAUAAUUUACCAUUUAAAACUCAUCAUUCUUUAAAAUCAUAAAAACGAGUAUAAACUACUUUAGAUAGUUAAGAUGAUCGUCUGAUUACUCACUUUAAUGGGAGUUUGGAGUACUUCUAUUAUUGAUCCUCGGAUACGAUAUCUUUACCCUUAUCAGAAGGCUCACCACCUAUACAUAAUAUACGACAUGUAAUUCAAUAUAUUUGUACCAAACUGUUAUAAAACUAUUUCAGGCUCUAUAUGAAUGCAUGAAAUUGAAUGAGAAAUGUUCGGAUAGUCACUUAAAGACGGUGUUCGAAGUAGGUUCAAUUGUGAUCGGAAUGAAUUUGUAUUCGACCUAAUUCGAACUAUACACCAUUGAUUUAACCAAAACAUUCGAUUCAACUUCAAAUAUAUUCAUUACACUUCCAAUAUUCCAUAUACACCAAAGUACCUCAGUAAGCUUAAUUGUAACUUAAUUCAUUGUAACCGAAAUCAUUCCGAUUUCGGACUAACUUGCUAAUUAGUGUCAACACAGUCCAAUAAAUCCAUUUAUAUCAUUAAGAAUAAAUUCCAAGUCCAUUUACUAUGAUUUUCUCAUUAUUGUUCAAAUCGUUUACUAAAAGAACCAUACGUCUCCAUAACCAUUUUCAAUAUCUGGCACCAUAAUUCAUCAAAUACGAGCUAAAUCACAUGAGAUAUAACAAGAUCCAUCAUCAAUAUGUCCUUUAGUAAAUUUGGCCAAGGAGGAUUGUUGAAGAGUAUGUGAUUUUUUUGCUUGCUUUUCAUGCCAAACAUCAUCAAACAACUAAAAACACUAAAAUAUCAUGAAAUCUAGCCAAAUUCAUCACCAAAACUUCUCUUUCUAGAUUUGGCCAGCAAAGGUUCCCUCUUGAAAACUUGAAUUUCAGCCAUGAAAAAUGACAAAGAAUGCAUGGGAAAGGUAGAUCACAAGCUAAAAUUAAAAAAUCUUACCUUUACUUGUUUAAUUCCUUGAAAUCCAAUAAUUUCUCUUGAAUUUUUCCUUUCUAGGGUGUGUUCUUCUCUUUUUCUCUUUGUUCCCUUGCUUG